rnacentral:tRNA from 1 species
UAGGAAGUGGUGUAUAGGAAGCACUAAGAGUUUUGAUCUCUUUGGUAUGGGUUCAACUCCCUUCUUCUUAA